UACGUAGGGCGCAAGCGUUGUCCGGAAUUAUUGGGCGUAAAGAGCUCGUAGGCGGUCUGUCGCGUCCGUUGUGAAAACUCGAGGCUCAACCUCGGGCUUGCAGUGGAUACGGGCAGACUAGAGUGCGGUAGGGGAGACUGGAAUUCCUGGUGUAGCGGUGGAAUGCGCAGAUAUCAGGAGGAACACCGAUGGCGAAGGCGGGUCUCUGGGCAACAACUGACGCUGAGGAGCGAAAGCGUGGGGAGCGAACAGG
rnacentral:rRNA from 1 species